rnacentral:lncRNA from 1 species
AAACACAGAAGUAAUGGCAUUAAACUCUCAUCAAAGACAAAUAUUCUGCCAUCACUACAACGGUCCUUUCAUCACUAUAUAAAGGACGGCAUACUUCAUUGAGAGACACACCUGAACGCACAGAAAAACUCUACUCUCUCUUUUAGUCUUUCAUAAGCUGUUGCUCAUACGUGAAAUCACUUGCUUGCUCAAAUUGCUGUAAUAUUUGCU